rnacentral:rRNA from 1 species
UACGUAGGGACCAAGCGUUGUCCGGAAUCAUUGGGCGUAAAGAGCGUGUAGGCGGCUUGUUAAGUCUUGCGUGAAAUCUCGGGGCUCAACCCCGAGCGGUCGUGAGAAACUGGCAGGCUAGAGUGCGGGAGAGGAGAGUGGAAUUCCUGGUGUAGCGGUGAAAUGCGCAGAUAUCAGGAAGAACACCCCGUGGCGAAGGCGGCUCUC